UACGGAGGGUGCGAGCGUUGUCCGGAAUCACUGGGCGUAAAGGGCGCGUAGGCGGCGCGAGCAGUCGGCGGUGAAAUGCCGGGGCUCAACCCCGAGUGUGCCGAGGAUACUGGGAGGCUGGAGACGAGUAGAGGCAAGCGGAAUUCCGGGUGUAGCGGUGGAAUGCGUAGAGAUCCGGAAGAACACCGGAGGCGAAGGCGGCUUGCUGGGCUUGGUCUGACGCUGAGGCGCGAAAGCGUGGGGAGCGAACAGG
rnacentral:rRNA from 1 species